GAUUGCACCUCUCUCAAAAACCGAUAGGGGAGAGUACACCUGCAUGGCCUUCAAUAAUAUUACAGGCAGAAGCAGCAGUGCCUCGGUGACAUUAGCUGUAUAUGUUCCUGUCAGCAACGGUGAAUAGGAAGAAUCAGCAACCAAUCUUCAAUCAGCCAUUCACACUAACCUGCACUGCCAGUGGAGAUGUUCAACACAUUCAGUGGAUGAAGAAUGGCACAAACCUAUACGGCGACAAUAGGAUCAAUUUCACCCAUAACCACUCAGUUUUGAACUUCAACCCACUCACUCUAACCAAUAAUGGGUUGUAUCAAUGUCUAGCUAGUACUGCUAUCAACAACAUUAACUGUAAUUGAGGCCAUUGUGACAGUGGACAUCACCCCCGAUCAUCCUAUUCCUCUAGCUUCCCAAAGCCUGGAGCUCACCUGUAAUGUGAAGGGAGCCUACAACAGACUCCACUGGCUUCGAAACA